CCUCGAUCUCAUGUAAAAUAUUACUGAGAUUUUCCAACUGUUUCAUUGAUUUGUUAAUUAAGUGCACUCGGCUUGGACCCCCUCCCCGAUUCCCGGUCUUGGGACAGGGAACGGAGCCCUAGGGGCGCUCGCAGAGAUGUUUGCCUGUUCUCUUUCCGAAGCCUGUUUUGAGGAGCAAAAAGCAGAAUGUCCAGGAAGGCUCUUUGAAGAUGUCUGUGAGUUUGCCUGAGGACAGCUCCUGGAAGGCAGUGUCCCCGCGACUAGGGCGAGCCCCGGACUCCCCACCAUCCCAGACUCCCCAACAGCCAAAGGCGCGGCGCCGCGGGCAGGACCAAGUAAGAAAUACAGCACAACGCGCCUGAAACGCGGAAGUGGCCCGGAGACAACAUGGCGGCGCAGGCGUCAAGUACCCUAACCUCGAGCCGGCGCCCAGGUCACUGAUGUGGGCUGAGUUCAGCUGGACGUGUCCUCAAGCUGAAGACUGGUCCCUGUCUUCUCCAUGUCUCUCACCUUCCUUGGACCAGUGGGUAUCUUUAGGCUGUUUUCUCGACUGUAAACAUCUUAUGACCAUGGGUCAUGACUGGCAAGGAAUGUGCCUUAGUCUCAAGAUGGAGCUGAACUGAAAAUGGUGUCACUCUGGCCUUCCCAGGCCCCAGCUUCCCUAAUAAUGGCAGAAGCAAAAACACAAGUUCAACUGCACAAACACAUUGUAAACCUUUGCUUGCAUCAGACCUGCCAAUAUCCUAUGGCCAAAGUAAAUGCACAUGGCUAAGCCCAGCAGAAAUGAAGCAGGGAAGUAUAUUCCUUUUGUAUGGGAGAGGGGAGUGUGAAAAGAAAAUAUUU